rnacentral:lncRNA from 1 species
UUUCACAGCCAAACCGUACAACACAACGUUGAAACCAAAUACAGCUGUAGUUGGUACAUCAGUUGUCAUGACGUGUAAAUCUGAAGGUCUUCCUGAACCAAGAUAUAUCAUAACCCGUAAUGGCACUGUGGUCAGUACUAACAAGACGUAUACCAUAUCUGAAGUAAAAUGGAGUGAUGCUCGGACAUGUACAUAUAUAUGCAUUGCAUCGAAUAAAUUUGGAAAUGCUUUAGCUUGCUCUAACUUAACCGUAG